rnacentral:misc_RNA from 1 species
AGCAGCCGCGGUAAUUCCAGCUCCAAUAGCGUAUAUUAAAGUUGCUGCAGUUAAAAAGCUCGUAGUUGAAUUUCGGGACUAAUAUGUCGGUCGUGCCUCGGUACGUACUGGCUUAUUGGUUUCUCCUUUCUGAAGAACCAUGAUGUCAUUUAUUUGGUGUCGUGGGGAAUCAGGACUGUUACUUUGAAAAAAUUAGAGUGUUUAAAGCAGGCUCACGCUUGAAUACAUUAGCAUGGAAUAAUGAAAUAGGACGUUUGAUUCUAUUUUGUUGGUUUCUAGGAUCGACGUAAUGAUUAAUAGGGAUAGUUGGGGGCAUUAGUAUUCAAUUGUCAGAGGUGAAAUUCUUGGAUUUAUUGAAGACUAACUACUGCGAAAGCAUUUGCCAAGGAUGUUUUCAUUAAUCAAGAACGAAAGUUAGGGGAUCGAAGACGAUCAGAUACCGUCGUAGUCUUAACCAUAAACUAUGCCGACUAGGGAUCGGAUGAUGUUAAUUUUUUAAAUGACUCAUUCGGCGCCUUAC